UACGUAGGGGGCAAGCGUUGUCCGGAUUACUGGGCGUAAAGAGCGUGUAGGCGGCCAAGCAGGUCCGUUGUGAAAACUGGAGGCUUAACCUCCAGACGUCGAUGGAAACCAUCUGGCUAGAGUCCGGAAGAGGAGAGUGGAAUUCCUGGUGUAGCGGUCGAAAUGCGCAGAUAUCAGGAAGAACACCCGUGGCGAAGGCGCUCUCUGGUACGUGACUGACGCUGAGACGCGAAAGCG
rnacentral:rRNA from 1 species